UACAGAGGGGGCAAGCGUUGUUCGGAAUUACUGGGCGUAAAGGGCGCGUAGGCGGCCUUCUAAGUCGAACGUGAAAUCCCCGGGCUCAACCCGGGAACUGCGUCCGAUACUGGAAGGCUUGAAUCCGGGAGAGGGAUGUGGAAUUCCAGGUGUAGCGGUGAAAUGCGUAGAUAUCUGGAGGAACACCGGUGGCGAAGGCGACAUCCUGGACCGGUAUUGACGCUGAGGCGCGAAAGCGUGGGGAGCGAACGGG
rnacentral:rRNA from 1 species